CGAAGCCUAUCUAACUAAGUAUGCCGGAGCAUUAAUGUAUGCGAGUCAGACAGUGUGAGAUAAUUCUAAUCGUCAACAGGGAAACUGCCCAGAUCUACAGCUAAGGUCCCAUAGNGCAUAUAAGCGGAACCCGAGGUGAAAAUACGCAGACUACCAGGAUGUUGGCUCAGAAGCAGCCACUAAUAGAAAGAAUGCAUAAUAGCUCACUGUUCGAGAGUCUUCGCGCGGACAAAUUNAACGGGGCUAAGAUACAACCCGAAGACUUAGUCCGUGUACAUAGUACACGGGGUAGGGGAGCGUUGUGUAAGACGGAGUAACAGUAGCGAAAGCGGCUGUGGAGUUUACAGAAGUGAGAAUGCCGGAAUGAGUAGCGCGAAUGUGGUGAGAAUCAACAUGGCCGGAAACCUCAGGUUUUUGGAGGAAGGUUCGUCCGCUCCAAGUUAGGCGGGAGCUAAGGUCAGGCCGAAAGGCGUAGCCGAUGCACAGACGGUAGAGAUUCCGUCCCCACCGAAAGAUUUAAGCACAGGGACACUUUUUGAAGGUCGGAGCCAGGUGUUGGUUCUGGUAGUGAUCGAGGGAAAUAUAGUACCGAAGUCCGGCUGGAAGAGAGGCGAGAAAAGCUGUGUGUAUAUCUAAGGUGCCCGUACCGCAAACCGACACAGGUAGGUAGGAAGAAGAUUCUAAGGCCAACGGGAGAAGGGUUGUUAAGGAACUCGGCAAGUUGACCCCGUAACUUCGGAAUAAGGGGUGCUCACGAGAGUGAGCCGCAGAGAAUAGGCCCAGGCAACUGUUUACCAAAAACACAGGUUUGUGCUAAAUCGAAAGAUGACGUAUACGAGCUGACGCCUGCCCGGUGCUGGAAGGUUAAAAGGAGAUGUGCAAGCAUUGAAUUGAAGCCCCAGUGAACGGCGGCCGUAACUAUAACGGUCCUAAGGUAGCGAAAUUCCUUGUCAGGUAAGUUCUGACCCGCAUGAAAGGCGUAAUGAUCUGGGCACUGUCUCAACAGCCCGCCCGGCGAAAUUGUAGUACCGGUGAAGAUGCCGGUUACCCGCGACAAGACGGAAAGACCCCAUGGAGCUUUACUGUAGCCUAAUAUUGGGUUUCGGUGUUGCAUGCACAGGAUAGAUGGGACGCUAGGAAGUGAGUGCUUUGGCAUUCAUGGAGCGGCCGUUGGGAUACCAUCCUUGCGACAUUGGAAUUCUAACCUGCGCCUUUGAAUCAAGGCGGGGGACAUUGUUAGGUGGGCAGUUUGACUGGGGCGGUCGCCUCCUAAAGAGUAGCGGAGGCGUUCAAAGGUUGGCUCGUCCUGGACGGAAACCAGGAGAGAGAGUGCAAACGCAAAAGCCAGCCUGACUGCGAGACUGACGGGUCGAGCAGAGACGAAAGUCGGAGUUAGUGAUCCGGUGGUAUGUGAGUGGAAAUGCCAUCGCUCAACGGAUAAAAGUUACCCUGGGGAUAACAGGCUGAUCUCCCCCAGAGUCCACAUCGACGGGGAGGUUUGGCACCUCGAUGUCGGCUCAUCGCAUCCUGGGGCUGUAUUCGGUCCCAAGGGUUUGGCUGUUCGCCAAUUAAAGCGGUACGCGAGCUGGGUUCAGAACGUCGUGAGACAGUUCGGUCCCUAUCUGUCGUGGGCGCAGGAUAUUUGAAAGGCGCUGUCCCUAGUACGAGAGGACCGGGAUGGACGAACCUCUGGUGCACCAGUUGUCACGCCAGUGGCACAGCUGGGCAGCUAUGUUCGGAUCGGAUAAACGCUGAAAGCAUCUAAGCGUGAAGCCGGCCUUAAGAUAAGAUAUCCCACUGAGAUAAUCAGGUAAGACCCCUUGAAGACUACAAGGUUGAUAGGCACAAUGUGUAAGUGGCGUGAGUCAUUGAGCAAGCGUGUACUAAUAGGUCGAGGGCUUGACCCC
rnacentral:rRNA from 1 species